CCAGACUCCUACGGGAGGCAGCAGUAGGGAAUUUUGCGCAAUGGGCGAAAGCCUGACGCAGCAACGCCGCGUGAUUGAUUAAGCCCUUCGGGGUGUAAAGAUCUGUCAGUGGGGACGAAACUUGACGGUACCCACAGAGGAAGCACCGGCUAACUCCGUGCCAGCAGCCGCGGUAAUACGGGGGGUGCAAGCGUUAUCCGGAUUUAUUGGGUUUAAAGGGUGCGCAGGCGGUCUGUUAAGUCAGCGGUCAAAGCCCGGGGCUCAACCCCGGUCCGCCGUUGAAACUGGCAGUCUCGAGUUGGAGAGAAGUAUGCGGAAUGCGCGGUGUAGCGGUGAAAUGCAUAGAUAUCGCGCAGAACUCCGAUUGCGAAGGCAGCAUGCCGGCUCCACACUGACGCUGAGGCACGAAAGCGUGGGUAUCGAACAGGAUUAGAUACCCUAGUAGG
rnacentral:rRNA from 1 species